rnacentral:rRNA from 1 species
CUACGGGUGGCAGCAGUGGGGAAUAUUGGACAAUGGGCGAAAGCCUGAUCCAGCAAUGCCACGUGAGUGAUGAAGGCCUUCGGGUUGUAAAGCUCUUUCAACAAGGAAGAUAAUGACGGUACUUGUAUAAGAAGCACCGGCUAACUCCGUGCCAGCAGCCGCGGUAAUACGGAGGGUGCUAGCGUUGUUCGGAAUUACUGGGCGUAAAGAGCGCGUAGGCGGCUUAUUAAGUUAGAAGUGAAAUCCCAGGGCUUAACCCUGGAACUGCAUCCGAUACUGUCUAGCUUGAGUACAGGAGAGGAGAGUGGAAUUCCACAUGUAGCGGUGAAAUGCGUAGAUAUGUGGAGGAACACCAAUGGCGAAGGCAGCUCUCUGGCCUGAUACUGACGCUGAGGUGCGAAAGCGUGGGGAGCAAACAGGAUUAGAUACCCGGGUAGUC